CAUGCAGUCGAGGGGCAGCAUGACCUAGCAAUAGGUUGAUGGCGACCGGCGCACGGGUGAGUAACACGUAUCCAACCUACCGGUUAUUCCGGGAUAGCCUUUCGAAAGAAAGAUUAAUACCGGAUAGUAUAACGAGAAGGCAUCUUUUUGUUAUUAAAGAAUUUCGAUAACCGAUGGGGAUGCGUUCCAUUAGUUUGUUGGCGGGGUAACGGCCCACCAAGACAUCGAUGGAUAGGGGUUCUGAGAGGAAGGUCCCCCACAUUGGAACUGAGACACGGUCCAAACUCCUACGGGAGGCAGCAGUGAGGAAUAUUGGUCAAUGGACGAGAGUCUGAACCAGCCAAGUAGCGUGAAGGAUGACUGCCCUAUGGGUUGUAAACUUCUUUUAUAUGGGAAUAAAGUGAGCCACGUGUGGCUUUUUGUAUGUACCAUACGAAUAAGGAUCGGCUAACUCCGUGCCAGCAGCCGCGGUAAUACGGAGGAUCCGAGCGUUAUCCGGAUUUAUUGGGUUUAAAGGGAGCGUAGGCGGACUAUUAAGUCAGCUGUGAAAGUUUGCGGCUCAACCGUAAAAUUGCAGUUGAUACUGGUCGUCUUGAGUGCAGUAGAGGUAGGCGGAAUUCGUGGUGUAGCGGUGAAAUGCUUAGAUAUCACGAAGAACUCCGAUUGCGAAGGCAGCUUACUGGACUGUAACUGACGCUGAUGCUCGAAAGUGUGGGUAUCAAACAGGAUUA
rnacentral:rRNA from 1 species